UCGACGAUGAUCCCAGCUUGCUGGGGGAUUAGUGGCGAACGGGUGAGUAACACGUGAGUAACCUGCCCUUAACUCUGGGAUAAGCCUGGGAAACUGGGUCUAAUACCGGAUAUGACUCCUCAUCGCAUGGUGGGGGGUGGAAAGCUUUUUUGUGGUUUUGGAUGGACUCGCGGCCUAUCAGCUUGUUGGUGAGGUAAUGGCUUACCAAGGCGACGACGGGUAGCCGGCCUGAGAGGGUGACCGGCCACACUGGGACUGAGACACGGCCCAGACUCCUACGGGAGGCAGCAGUGGGGAAUAUUGCACAAUGGGCGCAAGCCUGAUGCAGCGACGCCGCGUGAGGGAUGACGGCCUUCGGGUUGUAAACCUCUUUCAGUAGGGAAGAAGCGAAAGUGACGGUACCUGCAGAAGAAGCGCCGGCUAACUACGUGCCAGCAGCCGCGGUAAUACGUAGGGCGCAAGCGUUAUCCGGAAUUAUUGGGCGUAAAGAGCUCGUAGGCGGUUUGUCGCGUCUGCC
rnacentral:rRNA from 1 species